rnacentral:rRNA from 1 species
GAUGAACGCUGGCGGCGUGCCUAACACAUGCAAGUCGAACGGACUUACAUUGAAGCCUAGCGAUAUGUAAGUUAGUGGCGGACGGGUGAGUAACGCGUGGGUAACCUGCCUUGUACUGGGGGACAACAGUUGGAAACGACUGCUAAUACCGCAUAAGCGCACAGCUUCGCAUGAAGCAGUGUAGAAAAACUCCGGUGGUACAAGAUCGGACCCGCGUCUGAUUAGCUGGUUGGUGAGGUAACGGCCCACCAAGGCGACGAUUGGUAGCCGGACUGAGAGGUUGAACGGCCACAUUGGGACUGAGACACGGCCCAGACUCCUACGGGAGGCAGCAGUGGGGGAUAUUGCACAAUGGGGGAAACCCUGAUGCAGCGACGCCGCGUGGAGGAAGAAGGUUUUCGGAUUGUAAACUCCUGUCGUUAGGGACGAUAAUGACGGUACCUAACAAGAAAGCACCGGCUAACUACGUG